CAGUAGUCUCCACAGGAGCAAACCCCAUCCUUGAAAUGGUGGAACCUGCGUGAGUCUCUUACGAUGAUAUCUCUGUUCACAAUCUUUGAUAUCAUCUUGAUGACAGCAUGGCAAUCUAGGCACGCAGUCAGAUUCUUCAUAAUCCUGAUAGGUGUCCCAGCUGGGGUGUUCAUCAGAGCAAAUGCAAUGGCCAAUCUCUCACUGUGGUAUUUUAACGACUCCAGCUUUAACUCAUGAUCCACCAUAUGCAAGGCACAGGUUAUGUCGGGCUUAUAGCCUUGUUUAUCCAUCUCUUUGUAUAAUCUGUCUAGCUCGUCUUUAAUCUCAUCUAUCAUUGGGCUGGUUAGAUCAUUUGAAGCAAAGCUGUAUAUCUUUUGCUUGAUUUCAACCCAACUGUAACCCGACUCUUUCCUAACCCCUCUGUCUCUCAUAAUCUUCUUCACGCAUGCAGCAUCUUCCCACUGACCAGCUCUGGCAUAUAUGUUGGACAAUAUAACAUAGGGUGUUGCAUCUGUGGGUUCCAUACCGAACAGUUUAUCAGCUGCCACUCUAGCUAAUUCCUGGUUUCCAUGAAUUCGACACGAGUGAAGAAUGGAGGUCCAUAUUAUUGGAUCAGCCUUGAAUGGCAUCUCAACCAACAUUUUCUGAACUUGAGAAAAACAGCCUACCCGACCCAAUGUAUCUAUAACACAAGCAUAGUGUUCCUUCCAGGGUGAUAUACUAUAUUGGUGUUUCAUCAAGUGAAAGUACUUCAUGCAUUCAUCUGCAAGACCAUUGUGACUGCAUGCUGCUAGAACACUCAAGAAGGUGACUGAAUCUGGAUUAAAACCACAAUGAAGCAUGCCUUCAAACAUCUUGAUGGCAUUCUUUGCCUCUCCAUAGUGAGCGUAGGCUGAAAUAACAGCAUUCCACGAGAUGGAAUUCCUCUCAGGCAUCUCAUCAAAUGUCCGAAGUGCCUCGUCCAAACAGCCACACUUAGCGUACAUGUCAACAAGG
rnacentral:sRNA from 1 species